CUCCGCUUCACACGUGUUCUGUUAACCGUUAAUCAGCGUUACCCUAACCAUCGCCAGGUAUCUUAGAGUCUAACAAACUUUGCAAAGAUAUUUCCAGAAGUAACCUUUGAAUUAAAUUGUGUAUGGUCAUCAGAAGAGGAUGAAAGGAAGAAGCCUGGAUUCUUCAGCGCACAGGUGUAUUCAUAUAACAUCGUCAGCCCCUCUAUUGGCUCAUGGAGUUUCCCACCUCUACCAGUCACCUGACCUUCUCUCCCCUGAUCACCUGAUCCUCAUUACCUUACUGCCCUCUCCUCCAUGUUGACCUGCCUUCGAGUCAAGAAAUUAUAGACAGAAGAGUUUUUGUGGAUCCUGGAAACACCUUCUAACCUCCAGUAAGUGAUGUUAAUGACCCU